rnacentral:rRNA from 1 species
UACGGAGGGGGCUAGCGUUGUCCGAAGUUACUGGGCGUAAAGCGCACGUAGGCGGAUUGUUAAGUCGGGGGUGAAAUCCUGGAGCUCAACUCCAGAACUGCCUUCGAUACUGGCGAUCUCGAGUUCGGGAGAGGUGAGUGGAACUGCGAGUGUAGAGGUGAAAUUCGUAGAUAUUCGCAAGAACACCAGUGGCGAAGGCGGCUCACUGGCCCGAUACUGACGCUGAGGUGCGAAAGCGUGGGGAGCAAACAGG